rnacentral:tRNA from 1 species
GCAUCCGUAACUCCAGCUGGACAGAGUACUCGGCUACGAACCGAGCGGUCGGAGGUUCGAAUCCUCCCGGAUGCACCA